AAGUCGUAACAAGGUUUCCGUAGGUGAACCUGCGGAAGGAUCAUUAUUGAACUUGUAAAGAGGUGAUGCUGACUCUUCGGAGUAUGUGCACCCUGGGGUUAAUUCUUCCACCUGUGAACUUUUUGUAGACUUGGAUAGUAGUGCGCAAGUGCGAACCCCAAGUCUAUGUUUUACACACUCUAUGUAUGGACUAGAAUGAAAUUUAUUGGGCUUCAUUGCCUAUGAAAUAAAUACAACUUUCAGCAACGGAUCUCUUGGCUCUC
rnacentral:misc_RNA from 1 species